UUCAUCAUGAGUAAGGGUUUUGUCAUAACAAGAUCACAAGACAAUAUGAGAGGUACAAAAAAGAAAUGAUGCAUGAUGAUUGACGAGAGUCACUAAUUGUAUCAUAGAGUCUUGCAUGGAAAAAAUAGAGAAUGAGAUUGAGCCAAGGAUGACUUGCCGAAUUUAUUAACAAAUCUCAAAUGAUUAUGGUGCCCGGCAAGUUGACCUUGGCUCUGUUUCCUUCUCUUCUUUUCGAUGUCAAACUCUAGAUAUAUCAAUCGAUGAUACAAGAAUAAUAGAAUACAAAGUAUAUUUCAGUCAAAAUGUGGACACACGUUUGGUGAUCACAUUUCCGGCGGAAAGACUCCCAAAAGGGUCGACAUGGAAUGGUGUUUGACGGUGAUCUACCUAAAAAUACCAAGCGAGAGAAGAGAGAGCACAAUCGUCAUGACAGGGAGAAGAUUCUCGUGGUUAUGGUGAAGGCAAAAAACGACAUGGAGAUGAUCUUGACACUGAGGACAAGGCAGGCAAGUACGAGGGUAGUAGACAAGAGUUAAGAGAAAUGAAGAGGGGAUACAAUGAUGGGGUGUGUACGAUAGAGAGACCUUAAUCACAUGGUGAGAUUUUGAGCCUUUGAGGCCAUUUGCAUGUUGAAGCAUUUUAAAUCAUGGCUACUCUUUUUUUGUGCUUUUUCACAGCACAUCUGACUUGAUGAUCUCAGCACCACCCUCCAUGAAAUCAUCUUGAA